rnacentral:rRNA from 1 species
UUGAACGCUGGCGGCAUGCUUUACACAUGCAAGUCGAACGGCAGCACGGGCUUCGGCCUGGUGGCGAGUGGCGAACGGGUGAGUAAUACAUCGGAACGUACCCAGAAGUGGGGGAUAACGCAGCGAAAGUUGCGCUAAUACCGCAUACGUUCUACGGAAGAAAGUGGGGGAUCUUCGGACCUCAUGCUUUUGGAGCGGCCGAUGUCUGAUUAGCUAGUUGGUGGGGUAAAGGCUCACCAAGGCGACGAUCAGUAGCUGGUCUGAGAGGACGACCAGCCACACUGGAACUGAGACACGGUCCAGACUCCUACGGGAGGCAGCAGUGGGGAAUUUUGGACAAUGGGCGCAAGCCUGAUCCAGCAAUGCCGCGUGAGUGAAGAAGGCCUUCGGGUUGUAAAGCUCUUUUGUCAGGGAAGAAACGGUUCCGGCUAAUAUCCGGGGCUAAUGACGGUACCUGAAGAAUAAGCACCGGCUAACUACGU